rnacentral:rRNA from 1 species
GACGAACGCUGGCGGCGUGCCUAAUACAUGCAAGUCGAACGAACCGCGACUGAGUGCUUGCACUAAGUCAAGGUGAGUGGCGAACGGGUGAGUAACACGUGGGUAACCUACCUCAUAGUGGGGGAUAACAGUCGGAAACGACUGCUAAUACCGCAUAGGACAUAGGAUCACAUGAUCCAGUGAGGAAAGGUGGCGCAAGCUAUCGCUAAGAGAUGGACCCGCGGUGCAUUAGCUAGUUGGUAGGGUAAAGGCCUACCAAGGCGAUGAUGCAUAGCCGACCUGAGAGGGUGAUCGGCCACAUUGGGACUGAGACACGGCCCAAACUCCUACGGGAGGCAGCAGUAGGGAAUCUUCCGCAAUGGACGCAAGUCUGACGGAGCAACGCCGCGUGAGUGAAGAAGGUCUUCGGAUCGUAAAGCUCUGUUGUUAGAGAAGAACAGCGCAUAGAGUAACUGCUAUGCG